rnacentral:rRNA from 1 species
GUCGACGAGUUCUCGUUGAUGAUCGGUGCUUGCACCGAGAUUCAACAUGGAACGAGUGGCGGACGGGUGAGUAACACGUGGGUAACCUGCCCUUAAGUGGGGGAUAACAUUUGGAAACAGAUGCUAAUACCGCAUAGAUCCAAGAACCGCAUGGUUCUUGGCUGAAAGAUGGCGUAAGCUAUCGCUUUUGGAUGGACCCGCGGCGUAUUAGCUAGUUGGUGAGGUGAUGGCUCACCAAGGCGAUGAUACGUAGCCGAACUGAGAGGUUGAUCGGCCACAUUGGGACUGAGACACGGCCCAAACUCCUACGGGAGGCAGCAGUAGGGAAUCUUCCACAAUGGACGCAAGUCUGAUGGAGCAACGCCGCGUGAGUGAAGAAGGCUUUCGGGUCGUAAAACUCUGUUGUUGGAGAAGAAUGGUCGGCAGAGUAACUGUUGUCGGCGUGACGGUAUCCAACCAGAAAGCCACGGCUAACUACGUGCCAGCAGCCGCGGUAAUACGUAGGUGGCAAGCGUUAUCCGGAUUUAUUGGGCGUAAAGCGAGCGCAGGCGGUUUUUUAAGUCUGAUGUGAAAGCCCUCGGCUUAACCGAGGAAGCGCAUCGGAAACUGGGAAACUUGAGUGCAGAAGAGGACAGUGGAACUCCAUGUGUAGCGGUGAAAUGCGUAGAUAUAUGGAAGAACACCAGUGGCGAAGGCGGCUGUCUGGUCUGUAACUGACGCUGAGGCUCGAAAGCAUGGGUAGCGAACAGGAUUAGAUACCCUGGUAGUCCAUGCCGUAAACGAUGAAUGCUAGGUGUUGGAGGGUUUCCGCCCUUCAGUGCCGCAGCUAACGCAUUAAGCAUUC